CACUUGUAUACGAUGAAAGUAUAAAAUAAAUAAUUUUAAUCAACUAUUUUCACGUAAACCAAUAACAAACAGCAAUGUUGCUAUUUCUGCACGUUUCCGAGGUAUAACCCGAGGUGGUUGGGCGUGGUUGUGGGUGAUCGAGGUGAACGAGAAGGAGGACCAGAAAGACUAGGAGAACAAGGUGGACUAGGAGGACGAGGAUUUGUGCACGUAUUUGACAACAGUGAUACCUUAUCACAUGGACACUGGCCCACCUGAUAAUCAAGCAUUACAAGUCCUCAUUAAGAUAUUAAAGGCUAUUGAUGAGGAUAGUCCAACGGUGCCCACAUUAUUAACGGACUACAUAUUGAAAGUUCUGUGCCCCACCUAGUGAUCCACUAGUACAUAUCCUCCGACGUGACAUCGCUGUGCUACGUAUAAAGAAGAAAAGAUUUAUUAAGAUGCAGAUUGCUCCUCUCUUCUUGCCAUUGUGCUUUCAUAUAGCACCACAAUAAAUCUUAUAGAAAUGAGCUCUCAUUGAGAUUUCUCUGUAUUGCUAACUCGACGCGAGAAGGCAAAAAUCAAUGUAAUGCCAUCUGUAAGGUAAUUGGACUCGUAUUUGCACUACGAGAA